AGUGAACGCUGGCGGCAGGCCUAACACAUGCAAGUCGAACGAACUCAUCGGAGUUAUUGGCGGACGGGUGAGUAACACGUGGGAACGUGCCUUUUGGUUCGGAAUAACUCAGGGAAACUUGUACUAAUACCGAAUCUGCCCUUCGGGGGAAACAUUUAUCGCAAUUAGAGGGGCCCGCGUGUGAUUCGCUAUUUGGUGAGGUAACGGCUCACCAAGGCGACGAUCAGUAACUUGUCUGAGAGAAUGACCAGCCACACUGAGACUGGGAAACAGCCCAGAAUCCUACGCGAGGCAGCAGUGCGUGAUCUUGCGAAGUGGGGGGAAGGAUGAAGGACCCAUGCUGGGAAAAUGAUGUAGGUAUUGAGAUAGUAAAAUUCUUUCACCGGGGACGAUAUUGACGGUACCCGGAGAAGAAGCCCCGGCUAACUUCGUG
rnacentral:rRNA from 1 species